UGGCCGUCGUGGUAUGGAAGACUAGUGAUUUUGUUGUUCGGCUUUGCGACCGCUAACAAAAAAUCACCAGUUUCCUACCAAGGCGAACG
rnacentral:pre_miRNA from 1 species